rnacentral:lncRNA from 1 species
AGGUAGUGGGAGGCAUAAUUCUUAGUCAAUGAGAGACAGCAGUAGCCAAUCCAGAAUACCAGGGACAGGUGCGGUGCCGGCAAACUGACUUCAGGCUGUGGAUGUACGGCUGAGAGAGAAGUAGGAAACCCUGACAGUGCUCAUGCUGGCUUUGAUCCGGCUGGAGCAGCCUGUGGUGGAAAUGGCUCUAUAUAGCCUUGGUGUCUACCAGCAUCUGGAGUGGGAGCCACAAGAGCCAUGUAGACAGGCACCUAGCACUGUGCCAGCAACGUGGGGCUGACUGGCUCUGGGGAAGAGCUGUUGGCAGUGCUGGCGACAAGGAUAGAGUGUGAGGCCUGGUGACAGGAUGGCAGCGCAGAAGCCUCAGCGCUCAGGAGCUGCGGUCCUGGCUGCUCUGAGGGUCCCUGAAAGAUAAAGGGUAAAGAGAAACAGACAGGCUGGCCAGGAAGCAACACAGUGCCUUCAGUGGUCACCAGGCUCCAAGCCCGUGAAAUGCUGCAGAGCAAGGGAGAUCCUGCAGAGGCUGCCAACUGUGAAACCAGAGGACAGACGGCUCUUGCAAAGUGGACACGUAGAUUCUAGGACAUCACAGACACAGAUCUCUGCAGAAUCACUGUAGCCAUGAAGGGACAGCUGCAAAUAAAAGUAUGCAGUUGCAAAAACCA